AGGUUAAGUUAUUAAGGGCGCAUGGCGGAUGCCUUGGCACUAGAAGCCGAUGAAGGACGGCACUAACACCGAUAUGCUUUGGGGAGCUGUAAGUGAGCUUUGAUCCAGAGAUUUCCGAAUGGGGAAACCCAAUAUCUUUAAUAGGAUAUUAUCUACACGUGAAUUCAUAGCGUGAUGAUGGCAGACUCAGGGAACUGAAACAUCUAAGUACCUGAAGGAAGAGAAAGAAAAUUCGAUUCCCUUAGUAGCGGCGAGCGAAACGGGAAGAGCCCAAACCAAGGAGCUUGCUCCUUGGGGUUGUAGGACACUCGAUACGGAGUUACAAAGGAACGAGUUAAAUGAAGCGGCAUGGAAAGGCCCACCAAAGAAGGUA
rnacentral:rRNA from 1 species